ACAUGACCACAUCCACCUGUGAUGAGCUCCUGACUUCAGAAGACACUGAAUUCUGCAAGGGAGAAUUAAGGGUGAUUUACCCUGAUCUGGUUGUUGACAAAUGCAUGAUCGUCCCUCAGAGGAUCAGAGAGAAGAUCAGUAAGGAGUGGGGAGCACCUCAAUUACAGCUGCCAAGUGCUGAUGAGUGUUGUAGGUCCAUUUUACUCAAUGACACUAGAAUGGAGAGAAGUGGAGAAAUGGAGCAUGAUGCAGUCUACACUUGAACUCAAACUUGAAUUUCCUGCAUGAGCACCACAGCUCAAUGUCUCUGGUGCUUGUGCACUAACUGUUAAGCUUUGUUUUUUGAAUCGGUGAUUAUUCUCAUCAGUAAUAAGUUCAA